AAAUUGAAGAGUUUGAUCAUGGCUCAGAUUGAACGCUGGCGGCAGGCCUAACACAUGCAAGUCGAGCGGUAGCACAGAGAGCUUGCUCUCGGGUGACGAGCGGCGGACGGGUGAGUAAUGUCUGGGAAACUGCCUGAUGGAGGGGGAUAACUACUGGAAACGGUAGCUAAUACCGCAUAACGUCGUAAGACCAAAGUGGGGGACCUUCGGGCCUCAUGCCAUCAGAUGUGCCCAGAUGGGAUUAGCUGGUAGGUGGGGUAACGGCUCACCUAGGCGACGAUCCCUAGCUGGUCUGAGAGGAUGACCAGCCACACUGGAACUGAGACACGGUCCAGACUCCUACGGGAGGCAGCAGUGGGGAAUAUUGCACAAUGGGCGCAAGCCUGAUGCAGCCAUGCCGCGUGUGUGAAGAAGGCCUUCGGGUUGUAAAGCACUUUCAGCGGGGAGGAAGGCGGUGAGGUUAAUAACCUCAUCGAUUGACGUUACCCGCAGAAGAAGCACCGGCUAACUCCGUGCCAGCAGCCGCGGUAAUACGGAGGGUGCAAGCGUUAAUCGGAAUUACUGGGCGUAAAGCGCACGCAGGCGGUCUGUCAAGUCGGAUGUGAAAUCCCCGGGCUCAACCCGGGAACUGCAUUCGAAACUGGCAGGCUAGAGUCUUGUAGAGGGGGUAGAAUUCCGGUGUAGCGGUGAAAUGCGUAGAGAUCUGGAGGAAUACCGGUGGCGAAGGCGGCCCCCUGGACAAAGACUGACGCUCAGGUGCGAAAGCGUGGGGAGCAAACAGGAUUAGAUACCCUGGUAGUCCACGCUGUAAACGAUGUCGAUUUGGAGGUUGUGCCCUUGAGGCGUGGCUUCCGGAGCUAACGCGUUAAAUCGACCGCCUGGGGAGUACGGCCGCAAGGUUAAAACUCAAAUGAAUUGACGGGGGCCCGCACAAGCGGUGGAGCAUGUGGUUUAAUUCGAUGCAACGCGAAGAACCUUACCUGGUCUUGACAUCCACAGAACUUUCCAGAGAUGGAUUGGUGCCUUCGGGAACUGUGAGACAGGUGCUGCAUGGCUGUCGUCAGCUCGUGUUGUGAAAUGUUGGGUUAAGUCCCGCAACGAGCGCAACCCUUAUCCUUUGUUGCCAGCGGUCCGGCCGGGAACUCAAAGGAGACUGCCAGUGAUAAACUGGAGGAAGGUGGGGAUGACGUCAAGUCAUCAUGGCCCUUACGACCAGGGCUACACACGUGCUACAAUGGCAUAUACAAAGAGAAGCGACCUCGCGAGAGCAAGCGGACCUCAUAAAGUAUGUCGUAGUCCGGAUUGGAGUCUGCAACUCGACUCCAUGAAGUCGGAAUCGCUAGUAAUCGUAGAUCAGAAUGCUACGGUGAAUACGUUCCCGGGCCUUGUACACACCGCCCGUCACACCAUGGGAGUGGGUUGCAAAAGAAGUAGGUAGCUUAACCUUCGGGAGGGCGCUUACCACUUUGUGAUUCAUGACUGGGGUGAAGUCGUAACAAGGUAACCGUAGGGGAACCUGCGGUUGGAUCACCUCCUUA
rnacentral:rRNA from 1 species